AUUUGGCUGACGAGUCUCUUAAAUAGAACGAAACACGCGUCUUAGAU
rnacentral:hammerhead_ribozyme from 1 species